rnacentral:rRNA from 1 species
UGGGGAAUAUUGCACAAUGGGCGCAAGCCUGAUGCAGCCAUGCCGCGUGUGUGAAGAAGGCCUUCGGGUUGUAAAGCACUUUCAGCGAGGAGGAAGGGUAGUGUGUUAAUAGCACAUUGCAUUGACGUUACUCGCAGAAGAAGCACCGGCUAACUCCGUGCCAGCAGCCGCGGUAAUACGGAGGGUGCAAGCGUUAAUCGGAAUUACUGGGCGUAAAGCGCACGCAGGCGGUUUGUUAAGUCAGAUGUGAAAUCCCCGCGCUUAACGUGGGAACUGCAGUUGAAACUGGCAAGCUAGAGUCUUGGAGAGGGGGGUAGAAUUCCAGGUGUAGCGGUGAAAUGCGUAGAGAUCUGGAGGAAUACCGGUGGCGAAGGCGGCCCCCUGGACAAAGACUGACGCUCAGGUGCGAAAGCGUGGGGAGCAAACA